rnacentral:miRNA from 8 species
GCAGGCAUCUUUCCAGUCUACA